UUUUGAAGCAGAAUUUGAAUGCUCAAGGCCUGUUUUGUGGACUUUUUAAAAGAAAACAACAGCUGGUUUUAUAACUACAUAAGUUCUCCACUUGCAUCCACAGGCUCGUGGUUUUAAAAACACACUGUAUGAGGUAAUAACUGUUUCCAUGUUUCUGGACAGUUUUUCAUGAUGCAGGACCAAAAGUCUGCUUCUGAGGAAAGCUGAACCUGCCACAGCAGAAAGAACAUUCUGUUUUAACUACCUGGAUGCUGCAAAGCACAAGUUUAAAUGUCAAACAGCUGCUUAUUUACUCGUCCAGCAGAUUCAGAACAACUGGACAGUUUCAGUUGAGGAUAAUAUGACUCUUUAGGUGCUUCCAGCUCUGUUUAUGUUCACCAGCUAGCAGCAGACUGUUGUUAUUCUGUUUGUUGGAGCUGCAGUAGAAGUUUGAUGGGCUGAAGAGCCAAUCUGCAGUAAGAGAGCUGCAGGGAACUGGCAGCAGCUCGAUAUAUUUAACUUUGAAAGCUGAAUAUUACAAGGAGAAUCAGGACGACACAUUUAGCGGCUUUAGAGGCUCCUCUCACAUGGUCAUUUGAUCCAGUUUGAUCUAAAAUAUUUACUAGUGCACCGUUAAAGCUGCAUUUACUGGCUCUUUAUCCAUUCGGCUGCACGACAAGUAAAAAACACGUCUGACACAUUAUUGGACAGGUAACCAAGGAUUCGCAUUUUUACAUUUUGUAGAAAUGUAGAGUUGAAUUCAAAUGUCAUUGCAAAGUUCUCCCAAACACAAAACAUGUCUUUAGCUUGGCGGAUGUUCAACCAGCUCGUGUACGGUGAAUUAAUCUGAGUUUUUUAACAAAAACACAAGUUUUCAGGCUGCAGAGUGACAACAAUGAGCUCAAAGAGGCUAAAAAAGCUGCACAGGGCUGCAGAUUCUAGUUUUAAUUCUCUACACGUCGUCCUUUGAUGCACUGUUAAUACAAAACAUAUUCAUAACUACAGCUUUAACACAGCAGUGACAUCCUGUUUGUGCCUGUCUUUGUGCGUCUACAUUCACAUUUCUGCCGUGUGAUUAUGUCUGCGUGGGUGCAUGAUUGUUACUGUGCUUUUCCGUGGGUGCAUGUGUGCAAAUCUGUGACACUAUUGUUGCAGGAAGCUCUCUUCCAUCCAGUUUGCUGCAGCCCCAGAGGAACUCUGGGUUGUCGCCAGGGCAGCUCUCUCCAUAUUACUCAUCUGGUUUUCAGUUUAAAGCCAAGAGAAAGACAACUUUUCUCUCCCGCUGUGACCCCGUCGGAUCGCCGUAUUGCCAACACGACUCACAAAUGUUGUGUUUGGUAGAAAAAGACGCGUCGUGAGUCUGCUUCUCUGGCUGCAGAUGUGAGGCGUGUGCCAGCUGGUUGGAGAGGAAUCCCUCUGCAGAACUAGAGAUGAUGCUGCAGCACAGCGAGCAGCUCAUUACAAGCUGCACUUUAUUAGAACGGAAAUGUGUUCUCACGGGAUGAAUUAAUACGGUUUGAGUUCGAGCUUCUAGGAAGAAGUCAGGUUUGUGAAAUGUGGGGAAAAGGGCAUUUUACAAACAAGUGUCCUAAAACCACCAUGCAGGUUUUUACUACGACAUGGUACCAGGCACCGAACUCACAAAAGACGUUCGAACGCUCAUUUUUUAGGCCCCCAGAAAGUUGCUUUGUGUGUUAUUACCUCUCUGCUUGGCGACGCAUUCAGGGCCCCGUCGGAACGUUCGGCGCCUCGAUUCACAAAAACAAGGCCAGAAGACUCAGGUUCUGACAGAACGACGAGGCCGAGCGGGAGGACGGAGAAUUCACACUGCUUUCACUUUUACAAAUCCAGAACUGUGUCUUAUUUCUGACAAUGAAAAGCCUCUCCAGUGUUUUUUCCUUUAUUUUCCUUUUUUCUUUUCGUGCGGGAAAUUUCCUCGCAGGUAGCAUAAAUGUGUUCCUUUUGACAUUAGCACAUGUUCUUGUCUUUUUUCUCCAUUUUUAAAAUACCAAACACCCCCUCGAUUAUUAUGGAUUAAGUGAUCGGGAUUAGAUAUCUGAGUAUUUUUGUUGUUAGUUGUUCAUGUUCGUUGAUUAUUUCUGCCCUCCGGUUGUUUUGUGUUAUCGGUGGAGGUGUGUCGUGAGCCGGGUUCCCCCAAAGUGUUCCUCACUAGUUGCGUGUUCUUGCAGAGCUUUUUGCUUCGGCUGAAAGUAUAUUUUUGAAUAGAAGUAUAUGUUUAUUUUCACCACGGACGAGAUGCAGAAGAGAAAUGUUCAUAUAAAGCAGAAAAGAAAGGCUAAAAGAGAUACAAAAAGCUGUGUAUUUUAUUCAUAUUUCAAUGUGUUGGCUGAGUUUUUAGCAGAUUGUGAAAGGAAACUCCAGUUGAAUUUCAUUUUGUGGUUGAAAACACGUCUGUCGUUCACUCUGGUGGGUUUUAAACUAGUGUUCAGACAUUCUGAGAAACACAAACCCAGUAUCUCCCUCCUGAACUGCUUUGUGGUCUCCGUGGAUCAGUAUUUCUUAGACAAAGAGAGAAAAACCAUCUGGCGUUUGUGUCAAGGAGGCGUGACGACACUUAAAUAUAUCCUGAUUUAUGUUCUUACACUUAUUGUGUUUUAAUGGGUGAACAUUUAGUGGUAGAAGCAGCUUUCAGUCAAACAGAAGCACAGAGACUAUGCACUAACGGUGCAGCUUCACCCUCAAGUGAGUCGGAUAUGAGAACAUUUACUGUUUAUUCAAGUUGUACAAGUGUGACAAACAGAAGGUUUUAAAGGUUUUGCAUGAAGAUAAACAGAAAUAUUUAAGAAUUCAUGCACAAUUAGGGAAAAUAACAUUCUGAGCAACAGUGUUUGAGCACUUAUUUCACUAUUUAAUAUAAUACUCCAUUUAUUUUACACAUGAAGCUCUGAUUUCAUCCAGUAUGUGAGUUAAAAUCAGGAUACAGAGAGUUAAAUUCUCGGCUAGUUCAAUGCAAUUCGUCGUUCAGGAUGUUUUCAAUCAGUCUAUUUGACAGCUGAAGCCCAUUUCUGAGAUUUAUGAUCCAAUUGAUCAAUUACUUUGCUAGAAAAUCUCAAAAAAUGUAAGCAUGGGAAACAGAUGUAGUUUGUCUUUUUUGUCCAUAAAACUCACAGAUUUUUAUCUAAAAUCAUAUUUUUCCAACUUUAAUCUACACAGUUUUUACACCUUUCUGCAAAAAACCUGCAUUUCUUUUCUUAAAAUAUGAAGAAAAAACCCAUGACAUGUAGAGAACAGCUACAACAAAUUCCUUUCGAGACAUUUUAUCCAAUUUAUAACAUCAUGUUUACAAGUAAAAAUCUCACAAUUACAAGCUCUGGACUUUAUAUUUUUGAAAUAUUUUUGGGAAUUUGUCACAUUAAACGUUACUGACCAAUUCAGUGCACUUUGUUUCCCCAACUGUCAACAUAUAGGCUAAAUAAUAUUUUCUAAAUGGUAAUAUUACACUGAUUUAGUCUUGUAAAAGUUCACAAGUGAUGACUUUUAACAUUUAAUGUGACAAAUUCCAAAAACUAACUUUUUAGAGGUUGACGUGAUGUGAGGCUAGCAGUUUCCCUUUGUUUCCAGUCUUUAUGCUAAGCUACGCUAAUGACCUCUGGCUCCAGAUGUGGUGUUGAUUUUUAUAUCUGUCUUUCAAUCUCUAAAAAAUUACAGUUAUUUCUAAAAGCUCAUACUAGUAAACUCACAUUUUGUUGAUUUGUGGACUGGUCACUUGCAUUUAAAAACUAAAUCCGAUCGCUUGAGGGUGAAGCAUCACUCAGCAGUAAACACCAAACGCAGCACGUCAUGCUGUUGUGAUCGAGGUGCUUUUCCUUCACCUCAGAUGUACAAAGUUCUUCUAAUCCCUCUGACGACCAACACGAUUCGGCUACUGCCUGUUUCCAGGAGGACGAGUCGCUGCUCACCAGGACAGAGAACAAAACCGGACACGUUACUUUAGUUAUUAUAAUUCCUGGUAUAAUAAUGACGGUAAUCGCGGUGAUAUUCAUUGUUGUGGUUGUUUUUUUUCCCUGGGUUCUCUGUAAUAGAUAAACGUGAUGCUGCGGUGUGUUUUUGAACUGUUGAUUGGGAUGGAAAAGAGAACAAAGAGCGAUUGAGCUCAUAUUAAAGAGCAGGAUGGGGGUGAAUUAGUGGGAUGAUGUGAUGUUCACAGGGAAAGGCUGCCUCCCCUCAACAAAGCCUGCCAGACUCGCUGCUGCAGCCACAGAUACCAUCAGAUGGGGUUUAAAACGAUAGCAAGGAUUAGCAUUAACAGCUACAUGACUCUGGUUGAUAACUUCAUUAUGAUAAAAUUCAUUUUGCCACCUUGAAGGGAGCAAAAGUGCUGAGAAGUCACUCUAGUCAGCAUUAAUUUAGAAUAUACGCUUCGGCAUGGUGGCCCAGAGAGCUCCAUUUGAGGAAACACAUGCAAAAAGACAAAAUAUAUGCAGAUUAACAACACUUUUCUUCAAAAAUUUAGGACAAAAAUCAUGUUGCUAAUACAGAAAACACAACAAAAUGCAGAAACUGGCUGCAAAGACUUCCACUCAACACUGUUUCCAAACCCUUGUCCCAGAUGCUUCAAAAAUUAUUCGAAAUGUGUCCAAAAUAACUUGAAAAUGAUCCAGAAUUACCGAAAAAUUUCCAGAAAGGAACUAAAACACAGAAAAUUUGUUCGGAAUGACAUGAAAAUAGUCUAAAAUGACUGGAAAUUUACCAAGAUCAAUCAGAAUUUCUCUCAGAUAAUUGAAAAUUAUCCAGAAUGACCGAAAAUUUGCAAACUGACACUAAAUUUGGCCAAAAAGCUUUAAAAACCCAUGCAAAAUUUGUCUAAAAUUAAUUGAAAAUGAUCCAAAAUUGCAGAAAAUGUGUCCAAAAUUACACAAAAGUUGUCAGAAAAUACAAAAAUCUUCCCAAAAUGAAUCAAAACUUAUCCAAAACCACUUAAAUCUGUUCAUAAUAAGCUGAAAAUUAUUUAAAAAUGACUGAAAGCUUGGAGGAUGACAUGAGGCAGAGUGGUCUAACCCACCAAAACUCAAAUUUAGACCAUAUUUUAUGGUCUAGAUUUGAAUUUGAGGAAACGCAUGCAAAAAGACAAAAUGCAUGCAGAUUAACGACACUUUUCCUCAUAAAUUUAGGGAAAAAAUAUGUUGCAAAUACAGAAAACACAACAAAAUGCAGCUGCAAACUGCAAAGACUUCCAGGAAAAAAAAGUUUCCAAAAUGUAGUGGUGCAUUAGUGUGAAAAUCAAUGAGCUAGCAUGCUAGGUUAGCAUGUAUUUCAUCAAGGUUGAGCUACUGCGACAAGCACGCCAAACCCCCCUGCAGACGUUUAGAUUCUAGUGUUUUUUUUGCAUGUUUUUUCUUCAUAAAGUCUCAGGAUCACUGUGCUGUGCCUCAUUUAAUCUGCACAGCUCAAAACUCAAAGCUAAAAGAUGCAAAAAAAACCCCAAUCUGUAUAAGAAAGCUGCACCUGGUCUGGAGAGCGGUUUUGGUUAAAACUGCUGCUUUCCUGGAGUAAUAGUGGACUUUUAAGGAACGACAAAUGCAGACUGAGCUUUGCUUUUAGCUUUUUGUCACUAAAACUGCAGCAAACAAGGCUAAAGUUAGCCUGAUUCUGACAAACUAACAACCUGUAGGUGGGGUUAGCAGCAUUUACAUGUCCAGUUGCAGCACUAACUCCUCAGAUACAGGAGCAUCUGUGAGUUUUCUUCUUCGUUGUUGCAGCAGCGACGUUUCUCGCAGGCUUUGGCUCUGAGACCGAGUCGUGGCCGUGACUCCAGUGCAGUAGUUCAGUGCCUAAACUAAAUGUGAGGUAGUGCCUCGACUAUGAAUCCUGUUCUAUAAUAAACUAUUUUGACUUGCUGUCUGA
ensembl:lncRNA